UACAGAGGGUGCAAGCGUUAAUCGGAAUUACUGGGCGUAAAGGGCGCGUAGGCGGUUAUUUAAGUUGGAUGUGAAAUCCCCGGGCUCAACCUGGGACCUGCAUUUGUGACUGCAUCGCUGGAGUGCGGCAGAGGGGGAUGGAAUUCCGCGUGUAGCAGUGAAAUGCGUAGAUAUGCGGAGGAACACCGAUGGCGAAGGCAAUCCCCUGGGCCUGCACUGACGCUCAUGCACGAAAGCGUGGGGAGCAAACAGG
rnacentral:rRNA from 1 species